rnacentral:lncRNA from 1 species
GGGGGGUGGGGGUGGGGGGUAUCGGGGAAACUGGGGAAGAUGGGAGAGCUGGAGGAGAGUCGUGGGGUCCGAGGAGCACCUCGGCAUCUGGAGUCUGGCAGGAAUGUUGAAGGACUGAGGGGCUAGCUCAGGCAGAGCAAAGGCAUCGCAAAGGCUGGAAAACAUCGGAGUGAAGCUGAAGGGCCUGAGCUAGGGUUGGAGAGGAAUGGGGAGCCAGACAUUCAUCCCGGUUACUUUUGGUUACAGGACGUGGCGGCUGGUCGGAUAAAGGGGAGCUGCUGGGAAGGGUUCGACCCCAGACCUGGGCAGUGAAGGUAUAGCUGGCAGCAGUGGGCAGGUGAGGACCGCCGUCUGCUGGGCAGGUGAGUCUCCUUCUUCUCUCUUGGCCUCGCUCCACUGACCUUCUAAACGAAGGUUUAGAGAGGGGGCCUGGUGAGAAGAAGCGGCUGGCCUCGCAGCAGAAUGGCACAUAGAAAGGCAGGAUAGUUAGCAAAGGAGACAUCGUCUCGGGGGGAGCCGAGACAGAAGGAGGCUGGGGGACCAUUGGCGACCCCAGGUGGAAAGAGCUCUUAGAGAGAAGAAAGAAGAGGUGCAGGGUUGCCAGUAAAGACUGAGGCCGCUGCCUCCAGGGAGGUGAUAGGAGUCCUUGGAGACAGUGGCAGAGACCAUGGGAUCCAGCAAGAACAGAAGCAUUCUAGGCUGGGGUCAAACAGGGCAAGAUGGGGUCACAAGACACAGAUGGGUCCCCAGCCGCCACAACAUCCCACCCACCGUAAUUCACUUAGAAGAAGGUUCAAGAGUGGCUCUGGCAAAGUCCCAAGUUUGCCAGAGCCUCAAUAACUGGAGAAUGGAAAAGAAGGGCAGUGCAGGGUGUCACCAGAAGGGGAGUGGGGGCUGCAGGUAUCGGACUCCAGAGGGAUUUUACAGCAAGGAGGCUGCAGUGGGUCCAGCCUGCAGACACACCAUUCCCAUGAGGCACUGCGGCCCAGGGACUGGUGCGGAAAGGGCCCACAGUGGACUUGGUACACUGUAUGCCCUAACCGCUCAGUCCCUGGGUCUGGCAUGACAGACAGAACAUUUCCAGGGGAGUCAAGGGCACAGGAUGAAGCCAGACGAGGCGAGGCAGGCGGGGCAGAAUGAAUGAGUUUCUAGGGAGGGAGGUUGGGUGCAGGUAGAGCGAGUAGCUGGGGUGGUGAGCCAGGGAGGCACUGGCCUCCAGAGUCCGUGGCCAAGGAGGGCCUUGCGGGCGGCGACGGAGCAGUGAUCGGUGUCUCGAAGAGCUCGGACUGGAGACUAGGGUAAGUGUCUGUCCCGCUCGUGGUCACCCAGUCUCCUCCCACGCAAGUUCAAUUAACUCAUGUCUUCAUUUCUCCCUAUAGCCAGGUCUCCAGCAGAGGUGGAUGUGCCUGCCAGUCACUGAAGGCGAGGAUGACAGGUGUGGUCAAUGUGACAGAAAGACAUGACAUGGUCCGGUGUGAUGGAGAGGACAGAAGGGCAGUCAUCCAGCCUUCUUGGUGAGCAUACUCCCUGCCACAGGGCUAGUCCGCUCAACCACCUAAUUGUCCACCCACUCACUCAGGAUUCUGUCCUUUGCAGAACACCAUGGGCUGGCGCCUUGUCGUAGAAGCCGUCUGUUCUUUCACUUUUCCCAAAGAGCUAACACUUCUCUGCUGCUCUCUGGAUCCUCCUCCCCCUACCUUGAACCCUCAAGAUGAAAGGUGAGUUCUCUUCUGCCCCAUGUGGGUGGGAGAGGGUGGGAUGCCAAGGACAGGGGUCUCAUUCUCUCCCACCCAUAGAAAUGGUGCUACCCAGCUCAUGUCUGGGCCUUUGAAUCCGGGGACUUCUUUAAGUCCGUCUCGUUCUGAAUCAAGAAGAUGCUGCAAUCAGAACCACUACACUACCUGCCUCAGGAAUCUGCUCCAAGGUGAAGCUGAAAGAACAGAUGGUGUCAACAUUUUGAAAGAGCAGACUCAUAGCACCCACCCACCCCUGAGAAUCCAUCUUCAUGGCCAACUCUGCCUGACCCGGGAGACCACCACCCACAUCAUCCUGGAGCCAAGCCUCUACCCCGGGAUGACUUCAUCAUCUCCCUCCUGUCUUUUUCUUCUUCCUCCUUUCCUGUAAUUCUGUUUCUUUCCUUUUGUUCCUUCCUUGCUUGAGAGACUCAAAGCACCCGUGACUCUGUUUCCCCAUUUACCCCCUUUUGAAUUUGCACUAAGUCGAUUGCACUGGUUUGGAGUCCCGGAGAUAGCUUUGAGUCUCUCCGUAUGAAUGUAUACAGCGAGUGUGUAAACCUCUUUGGCAAUGCUGCCCCAGUACCCACCUGUCGUCCAUCUCCGUCUGAGGGCAACUGGGUGUGGCCGUGUGCUUGAGGCCUCGCCUUCCCCUCGCCUAGUCUGGAAGCAGUUCCAUCAUAAAGUGUUCAACAUGCCCUACUUCAUCCUUUGCCCCUCCUCACCAGGGCCUCACCAGAGGUCCUGGGUCCAUCAAUAAAUACAGUUACAGUCA